CUGCCGGUUAAAAACACCAGCGUGUGUGUGUGUGACGAUGCCUCGGGGCUCACCUCUCCACCCUGAAAGAUCUCUCUUAUCCCCAAAACAUGAGCCAUCCAGACCGGAGGUAAGAACCAAGGACUUCAACUACAUAUCUACCCCCUCAACCAAUGAGCAGUAACGUUAUCUGCCCCCUCAACCAAUGAGCAGUAACGUUACUGCCAAAGAGAAGCAAGCAGACUUUAAAGUGGCUCUACCCAUGCUGAGAAAAGCUGAGAGCCAGAGAGGGUAAGUAUUUCUUAUCACAGUAAUGAAGUCAUCAGAGGAGUGCAGCUUUGAGUUACACACUUAGCAUUUCAAAUGGGCAGCUGAGAUCAUUUGACUACCUUUUAGUGAUCUUAUUUUGUCACAAGCUUUUUUUUUCGCAAGCUAAAAGCCUAAUUAGCACUGCUAAAUCCUGCGCUAACUACUUUUUGUUGAGUGUGCAGAGACACUGUCCUUCCGCAGGAGUGUAUGGAAAUGAGUGAACUGAAUACAUGCUGUUCCCACAGAUGGUCAUUUCCUUAUUAAACUUAUCAGAUAACCAUGAGUGCUUUCUCUGAGAGCUCAAAAGUACAGAUCCCAUGCUGAGCAGAACUGUCACCUGAUGUCCAUACGCCAGACGUGUGUCCAGCUUGACCAUAGGACAGAACUGGGCAUAUAAACAAUUCUGAAGUAAGUUCCACACCCCGGCGGUGAUCUGUGAUUAUGGAGAGCACCAAACUCCCUCCAUCCAGCCCCACGUCGCCCACCACCGGCUUCUCUGUUCCAAAUGCUGAGAAGAUCGAUGGUUUCCCCCGGCGGUCCAUGCGCAGGGCCCGGCAGAGGCGCUCGCACAGCUCCUCCCAGUUCCGAUACCAGAGUUCCCAGGUGGAACUAACGCCACUGCCCCUUCUCAAAGAUGCGGUGGCCGGGGAGCUCCACGAGCUGUUUGUGCAGAAGCUGCAGCAGUGUUGCGUCCUGUUCGACUUCCUGGACUGUGUGGCUGACCUCAAGGGCAAGGAGAUCAAACGCGCCGCACUCAACGAGCUGGUGGAAACCAUGGCAACCAGCAGGGGCAUCCUCAUCGAACCCAUCUACCCAGAGGCCAUCAAGAUGAUCUCGGUGAACAUCUUCCGCACGCUGCCGCCCAGUGAGAACGCUGAGUACGACCCUGAGGAGGACGAGCCCACUCUGGAGGCCGCCUGGCCUCACCUGCAGCUGGUGUACGAGUUCUUCCUGCGCUUUGUAGAGUGUCCAGACUUCCAGCCCUCAGUUGCUAAGCGAUACCUAGACCAGAGGUUUGUCCUGCAGCUGUUAGAGUUGUUUGAUACAGAGGACCCGCGGGAGAGAGAGUACCUGAAGACCAUCCUGCACCGCGUCUACGGCAAGAUGCUGGGCCUCCGCGCCUACAUACGCAAACAGAUCAACAACAUCUUUCUGAGGUUCAUCUAUGAGACUGAGCACUUUAACGGAGUUGCAGAGCUGCUCGAGAUCUUGGGCAGCAUCAUCAAUGGUUUCGCCCUGCCGUUGAAGGCGGAGCAUAAGCAGUUCCUGGUGCGAGUGCUGAUUCCACUGCAUAAGGCCCGGUCACUCUCCGUCUUCCACGCGCAGUUGGCCUACUGUGUGGUGCAGUUCAUGGAGAAGGACGCCACGGUCACGGAAUACAUUAUUGAAGGUCUGCUGAAGUUCUGGCCAAAGACGUGCACACAGAAGGAGGUGAUGUUGCUGGGGGAGUUGGAGGAGAUUCUGGACGUAAUUGAGCCCACUCAGUUCCAACGUGUGCAAGAGAAACUCUUCAAGCAGAUCGCUCUCUGCAUCUCCAGUCCACACUUUCAGGUUCCUUCUCUCUCUCUGUCUCUCUCUCUCUCUCUCUCUCUCUCUCUAUCUUUCUCUCACUCUCUCUCUCUCCCUCUCUCUUGCUCUCUCUCUCUCUCUCUCUCUCUCUCUCUCUCACACACACACACACACACACACACACACACAGCAUCUCUUACUCAAGCAGAUCACCCUGCAUCUCCCUGUGCUGUCUUUUAUUUAUGUUCUUUCUAAUUAAUUUGCAAUGCAGUUCUUAAAGGUGCAGUCUGCUAUUCCAAUGCACUUCGUAAAGGUGCAGUCUGCUAUUCCAAUGCACUUCUUAAAGGUGCAGUCUGCUAUUCCAAUGCACUUCUUAAAGGUGCAAUCUGCUAUUCCAAUGCACUUCGUAAAGGUGAAGUCUGCUAUUGCAAUGCACUUCGUAAAGGUGCAGUCUGCUAUUCCAAUGCACUUCUUAAAGGUGCAGUCUGCUAUUCCAGUGCACUUCUUAUAGGUGCAGUCUGCUAUUCCAAUGCACUUCUUAAAGGUGCAGUCUGCUAUUCCAAUGCACUUCGUAAAGGUGCAGUCUGCUAUUCCAAUGCACUUCUUAAAGGUGCAUCGCAACAUUUUUGAGAGGAUGAGAGAGAGGGGAUAUGAAGGACAGCAGAGGAAUGCUAUCUGAAGUCUGAAGCUUAAAAAAAACCUGCGGCAGCAGUAUAUUAAGAUACGUGAAGCCAUAAGAAAAAGCAGCGCUUUUAGGUAAGAAAACCCACUGAAUUGACAACAUUUCAACGUCAGACGUAUGCCUGUAAACAAACCAAUCAAAGGGAGACGCAGCGCACGUAGGUGGUAACGACAGGACACAGGGAUGUCCUGCAAAGUUCUUAAGUGCGCUAGAAACAUUGCAAUGUGAAACCAUUAACUAACCGGAUCAAAUGUAUCCAAUGUGACUAAACACGAACGUUGGUUCGGACCUUGGUCUGGACUUUCAGGUGUGAAAACGCCCUUAGCCUCAGGAGCACACGGGGGAGGAAUGUGGCAGAGAGAGCUCUGUACUUCUGGAACAAUGAGUACAUUCUGAGUCUGAUUGAGGAGAACUGCCAGGUGAUCCUCCCUCUGGUCU